rnacentral:rRNA from 1 species
UCGAGAAUUUUUCUCAAUGGGGGAAACCCUGAAGGAGCGACGCCGCGUGGAGGAUGAAGGUCUUCGGAUUGUAAACUCCUGUCAUUGGUGAACAAGAUCCGCCGGUUAACUGCCGGUUGGGUUCGAUAGUAGCCGAAGAGGAAGAGACGGCUAACUCUGUGCCAGCAGCCGCGGUAAUACAGAGGUCUCAAGCGUUGUUCGGAUUUAUUGGGCGUAAAGCGUGCGUAGGCGGCGAGGUAAGUGAGGUGUGAAAUCCUAGGGCUUAACCCUGGAACUGCACUUUAUACUGCCUUGCUCGAGGGCUGGAGAGGAGACUGGAAUUUACGGUGUAGCAGUGAAAUGCGUAGAGAUCGUAAGGAAGACCAGUGGCGAAGGCGAGUCUCUGGAAAGCUGCUGACGCUGAGGCACGAAGGCCAGGGGAGCAAACGGG